rnacentral:rRNA from 1 species
AGCGAACGCUGGCGGCAGGCCUAACACAUGCAAGUCGAACGAACUCUUCGGAGUUAGUGGCGGACGGGUGAGUAACACGUGGGAACGUGCCUUUAGGUUCGGAAUAACUCAGGGAAACUUGUGCUAAUACCGAAUGUGCCCUUCGGGGGAAAGAUUUAUCGCCUUUAGAGCGGCCCGCGUCUGAUUAGCUAGUUGGUGAGGUAAAGGCUCACCAAGGCGACGAUCAGUAGCUGGUCUGAGAGGAUGAUCAGCCACAUUGGGACUGAGACACGGCCCAAACUCCUACGGGAGGCAGCAGUGGGGAAUCUUGCGCAAUGGGCGAAAGCCUGACGCAGCCAUGCCGCGUGAAUGAUGAAGGUCUUAGGAUUGUAAAAUUCUUUCACCGGGGACGAUAAUGACGGUACCCGGAGAAGAAGCCCCGGCUAACUGCGU